UCUAUAUCCCUCUGCUUCCCGCUAUCCUUCCUUCCUGGAGGCGAGGAAGGAAAAGGGAGAGGGAAUGGGAGGAAUAGCCGCACGCGCCGCCGCCGCCAGAGGGAUUGGCCGUUGGCCCCGCCCACCAGAGAAGUACCGCAGGAAAGCACUGGUUUGGACGAACACCUAGAGGACCAAUGGACAUUCUGAAAGCAGCUUGGGCUGGACAGGAAGACAUCCAGGAGACAGACAUCAUUAGCUAUUAGAUCAUUAGAAUUUACAGCAGCAUCUAAAAAAGAGACAAUGCAGCUGAAAAUUUAACAUCCGUCCAGCAAAGACAGAAACAGCAAAGUGACAUUAAAUCGAGACAUUGGACAUUUAAGAUUGGAGACCAAGUCCUCAUGUUGAAGCCUAGAUCUAAGAAGAAAUUAGAAGUGGCAUGGGAGGGCCCAUAUAGUGUAAUCACAAAAAUGUUGGAUGCAAAUUAUUUAGUCUCUAAGAAUUCAGAAGGGGAAAGGUGUAAGAAAUUGCAUGCCAACAUGCUAAAGCCUUAUUAUUCUAGAGAAAAUUUUGUGUUACAGGUUUCCCAUGUAAAUUCCGGGGGGAUAUCCUUAUCCGUUUGGGGGGAGAUAAAUCGGGACGAUACCCUGCCUGAUAUAGCAGAUAGUGCAAAUCUAUCUACAGCUCAGAAGUGGCAGAUUCAAGCAAAUGAAGUGAGAGUUCUAGGUUGUGGAGGUUGGAGAAAGGAGAGUGGACAUAUUUUGGGGAGCUGUAAUUUUGAGUUGAGAGCAUAGUUUUGACAACUAUCUUGAGAUAAAGAUAAUUAGUUGAUGAUUCUCUAGACAGAGAUUUAAGAAAAUCAGAAGAGUCCUGUUUGUUGAAUUAUUAACAUAGUGAAAUUACCUCAAUAUUCAAAGUUUUGGAACUGCUGUAACUAAGCCAAGAGCUUGAUUGAUUGUGAAACCACUAUGCUUAAGUUCCUGACUGUAACCACUACACAUUCCCGUUCAAACUAAUAAAUAUGAUAUCUUGUUUUCCUCAAAAA